rnacentral:rRNA from 1 species
UACAGAGGUCUCGAGCGUUUGUUCGGAUUCAUUGGGCGUAAAGGGCGCGUAGGCGGCGGGGUAAGUCUGGUGUGAAAUCUCGGAGCUUAACUCCGAAACUGCAUUCGAUACUGCCGUGCUUGAGGACUGGAGAGGAGACUGGAAUUUACGGUGUAGCGGUGAAAUGCGUAGAUAUCGUAAGGAAGACCAGUGGCGAAGGCGGGUCUCUGGACAGUUCCUGACGCUGAGGCACGAAGGUCAGGGGAGCAAACGGG